UGCUCGGAUUUCCGCCCCCUGCACUUGCCUGCCUGGUGCGUGUGGGGGGCAUAGGCGGCCACAGAGAGCCCGCACGUGAAGGGAUGCAGUUCCAGGUGAGGUAGAAGUAAGGCACGGUAAAAGACAAACUGCCACAUAGUAGACAAUUUAAGAGUUCAUCUGAGCAGAAAUCAACAGGAAUCCGGCAGUGCCGACUGAAAAGUAGUCAGGGGCGCUUAGCCACAGACAGGAGCUGGGGAGAGACUUUUACAGAGAAAAGGCGGAAGCAAGGAAGUUACUCCUAAAUAUUUUUGUCUCCUGGCAUCCAGUUCCAAUGAGUUUGUGAAAGCUGAGGACCCACCUCCCAUGGUUCCGUCCCACCAACUCCCUGGCCACGUCUGCAGCCAUUACUCUCCUGAGAAGUUUCCUCUGCUUCGUGGCAUGAAUUCCAAAGUACAGGCUUUGCUUGAGAGAUUCAUAUCACAAUCUUAUUCUCACAGGUGUGAGGUGAGAUUUCAUUGUGGCUUUGAUUUGCGUUUCUCUGAUGAUGAGUGAUGUCGAUCAUCUUUUCCUGUGUCGGCCAUCUGGAUGUCUUCUUUGGAGAAAUAUAGUUCAUAUCUUCUGCCCAUUUUUAAUUGGAUUAUUUGUGGUAUUUUUGUGAGAGAGUGAGAGAGCACAAGCAGGGGGAGCAGCAGAAGGGGAGGGAGAAGCAAGCUCCCUGCUGAGCAGGGAGCCCGAAGCAGAGCUUGAUCCCAGGACUCCGGGACCAUGACCCGAGCCAAAGGCAGGCGCCCAACGGACUGAGCCACCCAGGCGCCCCUAUGAAAACAUUUCUUAAUACUAAACUAUACUUUCAUCCUGAUAAAACUAAUGAGAUGAUGGUAUACUGUUUCUCUUUUCAUUGUGUCAAAAUCAACUUGCUAACACGUUAUUCAAGAUUUUUGUAUCUGUAUUUGUGAUUGAGAUUGGUCCUUAGUUUUUGUUCUUUUUGUAUUACUGCUGUCAGGUUUUUAUACCAUGGUUUUCUAUUUUCAUAAUUAAUUGGAUGACUUCCAAUGUUUUUUUUAUCCUUCAAAAUAGUUAACAUAGUAGCAAUUAUCUGAUCUAAUAAGGUUGAGAAAAUAAUAUUGUUUCUAUUUCUAUUUAUUUAUACCCUGAAACACUCCAAGAAGAACUGUUUUCUAAAACCUAUAAGGGGAUAAAGUAUAAGUAGGACAAAAUAAGCAUUUGUAGAGAAGGUUCACAACUUUCACUAAUACUAAAAAUGGAAAGAGAAGUUCCCUUGAGAUUACUUAAAGGCCAUGCUGCCUGACCCAGUCACCAAAGCCCUCACAACCACCCCACACUAAUGAGGCUGUGUGUGUGUGUGUUUUUUAAAUAAUAUCCUAAAAUGACAGCUGAUGGCAUAAUAUCAAGGUACAAUUAAUAAAAUUGGGCAAGUGCAAAAAAAAAGGAAAACCAUCUCAGGUAUUUGCACUCUCCCACAUGGUCUGCCCAACACAAGAGAUAUAACAUUCAGAGUAUCAAAUGGAUGCAUUGCCUGUUCUUUGGGGCCUUCAUAAAUACUCUUUUAGUAACAACAGCUUUUUCUGAGGAAUGAGCAGUAGAACAUUUGAAGUUAUAAUCACUCUCUGCCAAGAAUCUGUGGUGCAGAUUUUCUGUAUCGAUGCCAUAUGCUUUGAAACUCAACCAAGGAGGUGCUGAUCUGCUGUCUUCCCUCAGGCCACCUGCCUGACCCGUGGCUGCACCAUGGGUCUGAGCGGGGCCCCUCAUUGCUCCGUCCUCACACCCAGCUGCACCUGUGAGAAUCUGUAGAUUGACUCUUACAUCAGAUGGCCUUCUACCUUGCACUCUCUACCUUCCAUUCAAGCCCUUGAAACCCCUGUUUGUCAUCCGGCUGCCCUGAAUUGAGUAUCUCUUGUUUUGUCUUGCACAGAACCACUCCGCCCUUCCUCUGGGAGCCACAUCCUACCCUUCUGUUGUUAAGUGACCCUUUCUCAGGUUCUCUAUGGUCCUGGUGGGCAUGUCCAUCGGGGUGCCCUUGGCCCACUUCUCUACCUGUCAUGUGCCCCACGCUGGGCCAUUCAGACUCUCCUGAGAAUCCCAGGCUAGUCACACAAGGGCUAAAGGCAGAAGCAGCUGAAUCAUUCCAAAGACAGAGCCCUAAAAGAGGCUUCUCAGAGUUCAGCAAUCUCCUGGCUCCUGUCUUUCCCAGACCUGGCCUUUAGUUCUUCCUGUGGUUCUGACUGACUCACUUUUCUUCCAGUCUCUCACCUUUUUUGGCCCCAGUUAGUCUCAGGUUCCUUUUCUGUUGUUUACAGACUACACUGUCACAGGCCUCAUAUCUGGAUUCAAGCUCUGUGUAGCCCCUUUGGAUUGUUGUCCCAGUUGUACUGUCUGCUGGCUUAUCACCUUGGCUGCAUUCCUGGAAGCUGUCAGGUCACUCUCCAUGCUCCGCAGCUUGCAGUCCAGGCCUGCCCCCCAUCUAAGACCCUCCCUGGACCUUAGGGCCCCAGCCCACAUCAAGGCUUUUUUUCUCCUGGCAGAGGAGACCAGGCACAAUGCUCCGAAUGCCUGGGGGAUUUCACCAACCUGAACUUUUAUCACAU